CGAACGCUGGCGGCGCGUUUUAAACAUGCAAGUCGUACGAGAACCCCGGUGCUUGCAUUGGGGGGAGAGUGGCGAACGGGUGAGUAACACGUGGAUUAUCUGCCUUCAGGUCUGGGAUAACCCCGGGAAACCGGGGCUAAUACCGGAUAAUAUGGCAACAUUAAAGGUGGGGACCUUCGGGCCUAUCGCCUGAAGAUGAGUCCGCGUCCCAUUAGCUUGUUGGUGGGGUAAUGGCCUACCAAGGCGACGAUGGGUAGCCGGCCUGAGAGGGUGUACGGCCACAUUGGGACUGAGAUACGGCCCAGACUCCUACGGGAGGCAGCAGUUAAGAAUCUUGCGCAAUGGGCGAAAGCCUGACGCAGCGACGCCGCGUGGACGAUGAAGGCCUUCGGGUUGUAAAGUCCGGUAAGCAGGGAAGAAUAAGUGUAAAGUAAUAUCUUGCACGAUGACGGUACCUGCCUAAAGCCCCGGCUAACUACGUGCCAGCAGCCGCGGUAAUACGUAUGGGGCAAGCGUUGUUCGGAAUUAUUGGGCAUAAAGGGCGUCUAGGCGGGGGACUAAGUUAGGUGUGAAAGCCAUGGGCUCAACCCAUGAAUUGCACCUAAAACUGGUUUUCUUGAGUUCGGGAGAGGAGAGCGGAAUUCCCGGUGUAGCGGUGAAAUGCGUAGAUAUCGGGAAGAACACCAGUGGCGAAGGCGGCUCUCUGGCCUAGAACUGACGCUGAAGCGCGAAAGCCGUGGGGAGCGAACGGGAUUAGAUACCCCGGUAGUCCAGGCGGUGAACGGGGGGGACUAGGUGGGAGUGGCGGGAGCACUAGUGCCCGUCGCAGAGCGCAGAGAGUACACCGCCUGGGGAGUACGGUGGGCAAGGAUGAAAGGUCAAAGGAAUGGACGGGGGCCCGCACAAGCGCUGGAGCAUGUGGGGGAAGUCGAUGAUACGCGAAGAGCCUUACGUGGGCUUGAACUGUACUUGAUCGGUGUAGAGAUACACCCUCGUUCGGGCAGGUGCAGAGGUGCUGCAUGGUUGUCGUCAGCUCGUGUCGUGAGAUGUUGGGUUAAGUCCCGCAACGAGCGCAACCCUUACCCCUUGUUGCCAUCAGGUAAUGCUGAGCACUCUAGGGGAACUGUCGGUGAUAAACCGGAGGAAGGUGGGGAUGACGUCAAAUCAUCACGGCCCUUAUGUCCAGGGCUACACACGUGCUACAAUGGCCGGUACAAUGAGUUGCGAGACCGCGAGGUGGAGCUAAUCUCAAAAAACCGGUCUCAGUUCGGAUUGCAGUCUGCAACUCGACUGCAUGAAGCUGGAAUCGCUAGUAGUCGCGGAUCAGCACGCCGCGGUGAUACGUUCCCGGGCCUUGUACACACCGCCCGUCACACCACCCGAGUUGGCAGCACCCGAAGUGGCUGAUCUAACUUCGUGAGGAAGGUUAC
rnacentral:rRNA from 1 species